CUGAUGAAUACAAAUACAAACAUAAGCUGUAGCAGAAAAUUAAAUUCAAGGAAAUCGGUUUUCUGCGCCCCACCCCCAAGACAUUUGUACAUGAUAAUGAAUCCAUUAGUUGAAUGAAAAACUCAGCAGUGGAACAGUUAGUACACAAACACAGAAGCAGAAAAGAUGCUCUUUCCCAGUCUUGUUUUAGUCACCAGUAGUUUGUUAAGAUGCAGUUUUUAGCUGGCUCCCAUCAGCUGGUAGUGAAGUGUGUAAAGCACGCUCAAACCUGGUCAGUUUUAUCGUUUCAACAUGUUCACCAAAAGGGGGAAAAAAAAGACAAACGGAAGCAGCUUGGCAAAUUGAACACAACGCAGCUGGCAAGAAAUCAAUAUGUUAAAUGGUAAAUCAUUUCUGACAAUAUUAACUGUUAAAAGGUAUUUUUUUCCAGUUUGGUGCAAGCUCCAGCACUCAACAUCUGGCCAUUUAAUAGUUUACUGAAGGUGUGAGUAAAUUAAAAGCACAGGAGCAAACAUUUAGAACGCUGUUGAAUUUCACAUGGAUAAUUCUAAAUCAAUACUAAUUACGGCACUUUGGAAUGUCUGGACUUUCCUUCAAUGCAUGGAUUAUGUUCAAAUAAGAACAAAGGUGUGCAAAGUAUCUUUGUACUGAAGCUGAAUUUGCAGUCUCCUAAGCCUUGAGAGAUAUUGAAUUCCAAACCUCAUUACUUCCCUACUAAUUCCCUUGCUUACACUCUGUGGCUUGUCUGUUGGAUGCGUGUAUGUGGCUUGGCAGUAGGGAAUGCAGCUGAAUCACGAGUCAAGUCUAUCCCCACCGCAGGCUUCAUGUUUCACUGAUACCUUGAGCUCAAGUGGCUAAGGCUUACAAAAUCUGUUCGCUGCCAUUGAUGCAGCAAAUUAUUCAUUAUUAAAACAGUUCUGCAAGGAACACGUAGAUUUCAAAUCAACAACAUGGUAAAAAUAACCAAGUUCCCAUCACUUCCUAUUAUUGGAAACUCAGCAUUCCUAAAAACACUCAUGGGAGACUAAUCAAAGGUUCACACAGAACUGAAGGGAAAUGACUGAACAGCAGGAGACCAGAGAUCUGCUCUUUACUACUUUACUCAUAUAGAAUUCAAAGGCACAGAGUGAUAUUUACCUGAACAUUGAGAAGAAAUCCCAAUCUCAGGAUCAUGGAACAGAGAAACAAUUAACUUUCUUCAUUUUUCAUUGAACUCAGUUGCAAGCUUUAAUUUUAACUGCUAAUCUAUUUCAUGAUGAAUUAUUCUUACGUUACUUAUUAUUGAUCUUUGACAAUAUUAUCAUUAACUAACUGUAUUCCAAAAACCUUAUUGCAUUGCACUCUGCUCAGUAAAAGUGGUAAGUGAGGACAAAAGAUGUCUUACAGCCCAAAUGUCCAGGCUCACAUUUGCAAGUUUACAUUUAAGAAGAUGUUGCACAGGUCACAGUAAUCCAAGAAAUAACACAUCGAAGAAACAAAAUACUUUCCUAUCAUCUUUAAAAGGACGUUGCCUUUUCUGGCACAUUGAUAUGUCCACUCUCAGCAGUUCCUAUAAAGGACUGGCCAUGGUUACCAAGCUUUGGAGUACCUUUGUAUGACAUCUCCAAGAAUCUCCCAGCAAGAGUGAAAUCAGUAACCUGUUUGUGGCAGCUCCUUGGAAGAGCUCGGAGUGAUCAGGAGCCAGAUCAUCACCAAUGACUCUUCUUACCUAGGCCAACAACACUGAUACUCCGAGCUACUAGCAUGGAACCAAAACCCAGGCAGUUUACCUACAAGGUGGAGAGGUGGAGAGGGUCUGCAACUUUACCUUCCUCAGUGUUACCAUUUUAGAGGACCUGAACUUGGCCCAGCAUGCAUUUAUUGAGAA